rnacentral:rRNA from 1 species
CCUACGGGAGGCAGCAGUGGGGAAUAUUGGACAAUGGGCGAAAGCCUGAUCCAGCAAUGCCGCGUGAGUGAUGAAGGCCUUAGGGUUGUAAAGCUCUUUUACCCGGGAUGAUAAUGACAGUACCGGGAGAAUAAGCUCCGGCUAACUCCGUGCCAGCAGCCGCGGUAAUACGGAGGGAGCUAGCGUUGUUCGGAAUUACUGGGCGUAAAGCGCGCGUAGGCGGUUUUUUAAGUCAGAGGUGAAAGCCCAGUGCUCAACACUGGAACUGCCUUUGAAACUGGAAAACUUGAAUCUUGGAGAGGUCAGUGGAAUUCCGAGUGUAGAGGUGAAAUUCGUAGAUAUUCGGAAGAACACCAGUGGCGAAGGCGACUGACUGGACAAGUAUUGACGCUGAGGUGCGAAAGCGGGGGGAGCAAACAGGAUUAGAUACCCUGGUAGUCCACGCCGUAAACGAUGAUAACUAUCUGUUCGGGCUCAUAGAGCUUGAGUGGAGCAGCUAACGCAUUAAGUUAUCCGCCUGGGGAGUACGGUCGCAAGAUUAAAACUCAAAGGAAUUGACGG